rnacentral:rRNA from 1 species
AGUAAAAGUCGUAACAAGGUUUCCGUAGGUGAACCUGCGGAAGGAUCAUUACAUUCAGUAGCCUAGCUACUUGUUUACACCCUUGUUUUUUUGCGCACUUCAUUGUAUCCCUCGGCGGGCUUGCUCGCUGGUUGGACAACAUUUAUAACCUUUUUUAAUCUUCAAUCAGCGUCUGAAUUAUAUUUAAUAAUUACAACUUUCAACAACGGAUCUCUUGGUUCUGGCAUCGAUGAAGAACGCAGCGAAAUGCGAUAAGUAGUGUGAAUUGCAGAAUUCAGUGAAUCAUCGAAUCUUUGAACGCACAUUGCGCCCCUUGGUAUUCCAUGGGGCAUGCCUGUUCGAGCGUCAUUUGUACCCUCAAGCUUUGCUUGGUGUUGGGCGUCUUGUCUACCUCUUCAGCGGGUAGACUCGCCUUAAAGUAAUUGGCAGCCAGUGUUUUUGGCAGUAAGCGCAGCACAUUUUGCGUCUUAGUCCCUAAACAGUGGCAUCCACAAAGCCUCUUUCUCACUUUUGACCUCGGAUCAGGUAGGGAUACCCGCUGAACUUAAGCAUAUCAAUAAGCGGAGGAAAAGAAACCAACAGGGAUUGCCCCAGUAACG